UCUGUCUCUCCCUCAGGUGAAGUUGACAGACUAAAUCCUUGGGCUGCUGACUUCAGAAAUCCAAAAAGAACUGGAGCGAGUCCAGAUUGAAAUCUUACACUUUCUCCCUGUAGAAAAUGCAUGGCCUCCUUUCUCUGCAAGACUUAAAGGAGUGGAGGAAGUGGAAAGGAUUCUUCCCUUCCUUACAGCUAUUUUUUUAAAGAAUAUUCAUUCUUCAGAGCCUGGGCAUUUUGCCUGAAUGGUGAGCUGAUUCCCUAAAGUGAGUGGAAAUGUCUGAGAAUAAAUGAUUCCAGGGGGAGUGUAAAGCUAAAUGAAUCAUUCCAGAUUCUGCAGGUCAAUCAGACAAUUGGAGAUGAAAACAUCAAGAAGAAAUCAAAGUACAGAUGAAACAAGCCCAAAACACAUUGGUCACUUUGUGCCUGUGGUAUCUUUCCGGCUGGUCUAGUUCUAGACAUGCCCAUUGUCUACUCAGACAGUUUUCCUUCCUUAAUUACACUCUGUGUCCUAGAAACAGAGGAGAUAGAGGUCUCAGCAUUGCUACAGUGUCCAAAUACUCAAAAUACCAAGAUUUUUAUUUCUUUCUCAGUGACUAAAACAUACCCUUUUAGAAUCCACAGCUGGCCAUUUCUCAAGCUUCUAAGGCA
rnacentral:lncRNA from 1 species